rnacentral:rRNA from 1 species
AUGAACGCUGGCGGCGUGCUUAACACAUGCAAGUCGCACGGGAAACCUUUUAAUGAAGCUUCGGCAGAUUUAGCUGGUUUCUAGUGGCGGACGGGUGAGUAACGCGUGGGUAACCUGCCUUAUACAGGGGGAUAACAGUCAGAAAUGACUGCUAAUACCGCAUAAGCGCACAGGACCGCAUGGUCCGGUGUGAAAAACUCCGGUGGUAUAAGAUGGACCCGCGUUGGAUUAGCUUGUUGGUGGGGUAACGGCUCACCAAGGCGACGAUCCAUAGCCGGCCUGAGAGGGUGAACGGCCACAUUGGGACUGAGACACGGCCCAGACUCCUACGGGAGGCAGCAGUGGGGAAUAUUGCACAAUGGGGGAAACCCUGAUGCAGCGACGCCGCGUGAAGGAAGAAGUAUCUCGGUAUGUAAACUUCUAUCAGCAGGGAAGAUAGUGACGGUACCUGACUAAGAAGCCCCGGCUAACUACGUG